GAUGAAGCACGCAGCGAAAUGCGAUAAGUAAUGUGAAUUGCAGAAUUCAGUGAAUCAUCGAAUCUUUGAACGCACAUUGCGCCCGCCAGUAUUCUGGCGGGCAUGCCUGUCCGAGCGUCAUUUCAACCCUCGAACCCCUCCGGGGGGUCGGCGUUGGGGACCUCGGGAGCCCCUAAGACGGGAUCCCGGCCCCGAAAUACAGUGGCGGUCUCGCCGCAGCCUCUCCUGCGCAGUAGUUUGCACAACUCGCACCGGGAGCGCGGCGCGUCCACGUCCGUAAAACACCCAACUUCUGAAAUGUUGACCUCGGAUCAGGUAGGAAUACCCGCUGAACUUAAGCAUAUCAAUAAGCGGAGGA
rnacentral:misc_RNA from 1 species